UACGUAGGGUGCAAGCGUUGUCCGGAAUUAUUGGGCGUAAAGAGCUCGUAGGCGGUUUGUUGCGUCGGCUGUGAAAUCCCGAGGCUCAACCUCGGGUCUGCAGUCGAUACGAGCAAACUAGAGUGUUGCAGGGGAGACUGGGAAUUCCUGGUGUAGCGGUGAAAUGCGCAGAUAUCAGGAGGAACACCGGUGGCGAAGGCGGAUCUCUGGGCCAUUACUGACGCUGGAGGAGCGAAAGCGUGGGGAGCGAACAGG
rnacentral:rRNA from 1 species